GACAGUGCUGCCUGUUGAAAUAGCAGUCUUUUUUGGUUUUCCCCAGAUGAGAUAUUCACAGUCAGAAUUACACCUGACUGUACCGACCUUAUCGGGCACAUCAUCUCCCUUCCAGGGGGUCAGACCAGAGGGCACUGACAGGAAAGUUUCAGUUUCUCGGUCUCUGGUUGGGCAGGGGCCUGACACUGUCUUCCAGUAUGACUCACAUAGCUUGGACUGAUGCAGGAUGUGUUUUAUAACAUUGGUCCCUAAUAUCAACUUAUGCUGUCCUGGAACAAGAAGUGUGGGAACCAACAUUUUGCAGCCAUACACGCCCAUCUCAAUAUCAAAAGCACACUUUGGCCUCAGUCUGUAAGUCUGCCACAUCCAACGAGGACCACAUUCAUAUCAAUCUGCUUCUGUCACAAUUUUUCACAUGUCGACCAUGUGAGUUUCCUCUGACUGUCUUUGUGCCACAACUGGUACAGAGGUAAAUUUAAAUCAUAUGUCAUGUAAUUUAAACAAAUGGGGACGAAAGGAAUCUCUUUAUUUGUUUCUACUGACCUAUCUUUUCAAUAUUACUAAUUGUUAGUAGCUUGAACUUGUAUUGCUAACAACAGUCUUACGUCAUGACUGUUGCUAUGAAAAGUUUAAAAGAAGAAGAAGCAGAGUUUCAUCUCAGUGAGUAGGGACUGACUACAUCAGCGGAUAGUUCUUAGGACUCACACAGUGCCAUAAAUUGUGUUCUGUGAUCUCUGAGCAUGGCUUAUACUGACUUUCAAUAAUAGAAUAGGUCUGCAAAGGUCAGUGCCUAUCAAAAGUGGUCCGAGGAAGGAACAGAACUGGAGACAGGGUCAUGGGGGGCCGAGGCUCAUUGAUGCACGUGAGGAGUGAAGGCUGGCCCGUGUGGUCCGAUCCAACAGACGAGCUACUGGAACUCAAACUGCUGAAACAGUUAAAGCUGGUUCUGAUAGAAAGGGGUCAGAACACACAGUGCAGAGAAGUUUGUUGAUAUGGGUCUGCAUUAUAUUAUGACCACAGGUUGUCAUAAUUGUAUGACUGAUCGGUGUAGACGUUAAUUUUGCAUAUUUAAAACAAAAUAUAGAGUGAUGGACUUCUGAAUAGAACACAGAUUGAAGUGACAAGUUGUUCACAUCAGUGGAUACACUGAAAAGAAUUUAGUUUUUAAGGUUUAUUAAAGUUUUGGAAUUUGAAAAGUUUAAUAACAGACCACAUGGUGGCACUAUUGAAUAUAUGUUUCAAUAUGUUUAGCACAUCUCCAUGGGGAAUCUGUGUACCACGUUGGAUGACUUCAGCAUUUAUAGUAUAUUUUAAAAUAUUCUUAUUUCAAUAACUGUAACAUAUAACAAAGGUGAAAAUCUCAAUUACUUGUCUAUCUGCAACAAUGUGGUAGAGUAGAUGCGGUCCAAAAACUGUAUGAAGAAUAAAAAGAACAAAACUGUUACUUACGAAAUAAAGUUAAUAUUCAUAAUCUCAU